GAUGAACGCUGACAGAAUGCUUAACACAUGCAAGUCUUUGGCGAAGCUGUGCUUGCACAGCCUAGCCAAGGCGGACGGGUGAGUAACGCGUAAGGGACUUGCCCUGCAGUCAGGGAUAACAGACGGAAACGACUGAUAAAACCUGAUAAAGUCAGGCGGACUCAUGUCCAGCCUGAUGAAAAGGAAUGCUGCAGGAGAGCCUUGCGUCCUAUUAGCUUGUUGGUGGGGUAACGGCCCACCUAGGCGAUGAUAGGUAGCCGGCCUGAGAGGGUGGACGGCCACAAGGGGACUGAGAUACGGCCCUUACUCCUACGGGAGGCAGCAGUGGGGAAUAUUGGACAAUGGGGGCAACCCUGAUCCAGCAAUUCUGUGUGCACGAUGAAGGUCUUCGGAUUGUAAAGUGCUUUCAGCAGGGAAGAAAAAAA
rnacentral:rRNA from 1 species